rnacentral:rRNA from 1 species
AGUGAACGCUGGCGGUAGGCCUAACACAUGCAAGUCGAACGGCAGCACAGAGGAGCUUGCUCCUUGGGUGGCGAGUGGCGGACGGGUGAGGAAUACAUCGGAAUCUACUCUGUCGUGGGGGAUAACGUAGGGAAACUUACGCUAAUACCGCAUACGACCUACGGGUGAAAGCAGGGGACCUUCGGGCCUUGCGCGAUUGAAUGAGCCGAUGUCGGAUUAGCUAGUUGGCGGGGUAAAGGCCCACCAAGGCGACGAUCCGUAGCUGGUCUGAGAGGAUGAUCAGCCACACUGGAACUGAGACACGGUCCAGACUCCUACGGGAGGCAGCAGUGGGAAUAUUGGACAAUGGGCGCAAGCCUGAUCCAGCCAUACCGCGUGGGUGAAGAAGGCCUUCGGGUUGUAAAGCCCUUUUGUUGGGAAAGAAAUCCAGCUGGCUAAUACCCGGUUGGGGUGACGGUACCCAAAGAAUAGGCACCGGCUAACUUCGUGCCAGCCGCCGCAGUAA